GACGACGCUGGCGGCGUGGAUUAGGCAUGCAAGUCGGACGGUAGGGCUUUAUCGUAAGAUAGAGUUUGAGAGUGGCGAACGGGUGAGUAACACGUAGGAAUCUACCCUUAAGACGGGGACAACCCAGGGAAACUUGGGCUAAUACCGGAUGAGAGUGCGAGAGAUUGCAUUUAAAAGGAUGGCGAAAGUUGUCGCUUAGGGAUGAGCCUGCGGUCUAUUAGUUAGUUGGUGAGGUAAGAGCUCACCAAGGCGAUGAUAGAUAGGCGGCCUUAACGGGUGGUCGCCCACACUGGGAUUGAGAUACGGCCCAGACUCCUACGGGAGGCAGCAGUCGAGAAUAGUCUACAAUGGCCGGAAGGCUGAUAGUGCGACGCCGCGUGCAGGAUGAAUGCCUUCGGGUUGUAAACUGCUUUUAUCUGUGACGAAUAUGACGGUAGCAGAUGAAUAAGGAUCGGCUAACUCCGUG
rnacentral:rRNA from 1 species